UCACUGCAGCUGCUUGAUCCCUACGCUACCUUCUCAACCUAUAUUUCUUCCUCCAUUUCCACUCUCCUCCUCGCCCGCUUCCUCAUCCUCCAUCCUUUUCUAUUCUUCACCACUCCACUUCCCAAACCUUUCAUCAAGAUGUCGUGGCAAACCUAUGUUGAUGACCAUCUCAUGUGCGAAAUUGAAGGCAAUCAUCUCACUGCCGCUGCUAUCCUCGGCCAAGACGGCAGCGUUUGGGCUCAGAGUGCCACCUUCCCUCAGUUCAAGCCCGAAGAAAUUACUGCCAUAAUGACUGAUUUUGCUGAGCCUGGUACGCUUGCACCAACUGGCUUAUACCUUGGUGGCACAAAGUAUAUGGUGAUCCAAGGUGAACCAGGGGCUGUCAUUCGAGGCAAAAAGGGCUCUGGUGGUGCCUGUAUUAAGAAGACCAUUCAGGCUUUGAUCAUUGGUAUAUAUGAUGAGCCUCUGACUCCUGGUCAGUGCAACAUGAUUGUUGAAAGGCUGGGUGAUUAUCUCAUUGAUCAGGGUCUUUAGUUGCUUCGGAAAGUGUGGUAGUUUCUUCAGGCAAUCCUAAUGAAAGCAAUCCCAUCUCAGCAAUUAGUAGCUGGCUUACAACUGCUAUAACACCCCAUGCCACAGUGGAUAUGAAGUGAGAAACAACCACCUCCUUUACACCCCCACGCUCGACUCUUCCCAUUUCCUACCAAUAGUCACUGCAAGUACAUACCCCAUCUUUAAAAUGAUGGAAGCGGCUACGAUCCCGCACAAUAAUCUCCCGCUUCACAAUCCCAGAAAUUAUCUUUGCUGCAUCAUGACAGUCAUUACAAAUUCGUAGAUUCUUAACAACUCGAAUUGUGGUUCCUUCACUAGUGCUGAUAAGCCCAAAUGCAAUUGCCAACUUCUCACUGUGAAUUGACAAAGCAUCCUCCUUCUCUUCUUCAUCAAUGCUAUGCACUACGAGCUGCAUCCAGGAGUUCUCAGCACCCCAUUCUCUCGCAUUCUCAACCUGCACUUUGCAGCAUCAUCUAAUCUACCCAUUGAAGAAUAAACAUUGGCGAGAUAAACAUAGCUUCCAGAAUGGUCAGAAUCUAGCUCAAGAAUAUGUUGAACGACUCGCUGUCCUCUUCCACUGUCCCUGUAAAUCCGACAACCACCAAGCAAUGCACCCCAAAUUAUGACAUUGGGUUUCAUAGGCAUUGAGCUGAUCAUAUCCUCUGCUUUGUCGAGUUCACCAGCACGGCUGAGAAGAUCAACCACACAACCAUAAUGUUCAACCUUGGGGCUGACUCCAUACUCCUUGUCCAUAGUAUUGAAACAAUUGAGCCCCUUCUUGACCAACCCUGCAUGAGUACAUGCUGUUAACAAUCCCAUGAAAACAACAUCAUUUGGCUUUACUCCACAGUCCAGCAUUUCAUAAAAGCAUCCAAAAGCUUCAUCUGCAUGUCCGUACAUGGCCAACCCACAUAUGAUUAUACUCCAUGAGAUCACAUCUCUCUCUUCCAUCUUAUUGAAUACCCUUCUAGCCUCCGCUAUGCAUCCACACUUUGCAUACAUAUCUGCCAGUGCAUUCCCCAAGAACAAGCCCAAGGCCAUCCCUCUCCGACUGAUAAAUCCAUCAAUCCACUUCCCCAGAUCAAGUGCACCAAGAUGCGCACAAGCCGGCAACACACUAACAAGGGUAACAUCAUUUGGCACCACACCACCGAAUUGUUGCAUCAUCCGGAACACCUCAAUAGCAUCACUAUACUUCUCAUUCUGUGCAUACCCUGCAAUCAUGGCAUUCCAACAAACCACAUUCCUCUCCGGCAUCUCAUCAAAAAGCCGCCGAGCAUCCUCCAAUCUACCCAUCCGCGCAUACCCGCUAAUCAACGUCGACCAAGAAACGAAAUUCUUCUCGCGCAUCCUAUCAAACACCCAUCUAGCCUCGUCCGCACACCCACACAAGCAAUACCCAGAAACCAAAGUGUUCCAAGAAACCACAUCUCUCACAAACAUUUCAUCGAACAGAUGCCGUGCAAUCAAAAGAUAACCCGCUUUGAAAUACAUAUCUAUGAGCGAAUUCCGAACAAAGAGAUUGGAUUCAAACCCUUGUUUGGUGACCAUGGCGUGGAUUUUCUGGCCGUUGACAACGUGGGCAAGGCCAGCACAGGCCUUGAGCACAGAAGUGAAAGUGAACUCAUCUGGGUUCGGGGCAUUGGGCGAUGAAACUUGGUGGUUAAAGAACUGGAUUGCAUGGAACCAGUGACUGUUUUGAGCUAAAGCUUUGAGAGUGGCGUUGUGGGCGAAUAUAUUGGGGCUGGCGAGGUGGGCGAAGAUGAGAGCGGCCUGGCGCACGUUAGCGUGGUCGGCGCAAGCGCCAAUGAGCUUGACGGCGAUGAGGUUUGGGUCGACGACGGAGGAGGGGAUUGGAGAGGUGAUCAGCUGAGCUUGGAUUUGGAGGACCUGCGCCAUUGUGAGGUGGCCGCCGCAUUUUAGCAGGAGACUCGUGAGUCUCUGGUGGCGGUGGUGGUGGUGGAGAGCCACCGUGGGCUAGCUCUCUGGGUUGACACGGUUACUGAAUCAAUAAUAGGGCGCUGGUUCCUUUUCUUUCCACCGUGUCAUUGGCCUUGAUUAGAACAACGAUUGCAGGGUUGGUUGGUUCGAACAAAUUUUGCGCGCAAUAAAUAAACACAUCUUUAUAUAUA